rnacentral:tRNA from 1 species
GCUGGCGAGUGAAACGGAUUAUCACACAUGGCUCAUAACCAUGUAAUAGCAGGUUCGACUCCUGUGCUUCAGCA